rnacentral:rRNA from 1 species
UACGUAGGGUCCAAGCGUUAAUCGGAAUUACUGGGCGUAAAGCGUGCGCAGGCGGUUGUGUAAGUCAGAUGUGAAAUCCCCGGGCUCAACCUGGGAAUUGCAUUUGAGACUGCACGGCUAGAGUGUGUCAGAGGGGGGUAGAAUUCCACGUGUAGCAGUGAAAUGCGUAGAGAUGUGGAGGAAUACCGAUGGCGAAGGCAGCCCCCUGGGAUAACACUGACGCUCAGGCGCGAAAGCGUGGGGAGCAAACAGG